UUGACCGUUUUUUCCAUCCGUUAUUCCAGCCAGUCUGUUCCAGCGUAUAUAGCACGGCAACGUCUCAUCAUCUUCCCAUUAAACAGAAUCUUAAAUCUAAGCAGAGCAAAAAUUCCAUUUCCAAGAAGUACGAUAUCGACAUCAAUUACAAACUUUCUGGCGAUGAUGCUUUCGCUUGUCUUUGCACCGCCAUCAAUUUCGACAUUGAAGCUGCUCUUCAGGCAUUUGGGGUAGUAGAAAGCCGACACAGCUUUGAAA